rnacentral:rRNA from 1 species
ACAGCAGCAGCCGCGGGAAUACGAAGGGGGCUAGCGUUGUUCGGAAUUACUGGGCGUAAAGCGCACGUAGGCGGAUAUUUAAGUCAGGGGUGAAAUCCCAGAGCUCAACUCUGGAACUGCCUUUGAUACUGGGUAUCUGAGUAUGGAAGAGGUGAGUGGAAUUCCGAGUGUAGAGGUGAAAUUCGUAGAUAUUCGGAGGAACACCAGUGGCGAAGGCGGCUCACUGGUCCAUUACUGACGCUGAGGUGCGAAAGCGUGGGGAGCAAACAGGAUUAGAUACCCCGGUAGUCCCUGUCUCUUAUACA